rnacentral:misc_RNA from 1 species
UAAUAAGUGUUUUAUGGCACUUUUUAAAUCCAUAUCCACCGUGUGUGCAAUGUCAGUCGAUCUUCUUCAUGGAGAUCGACCAAACAUCAACCUUUAUUUUUUAACUCUUUGUCUGAAAAAUAUUAUGAAUAAACAAUUCAAAAUA